GGGGGUAGCUCAGUGGUAGAGUGUGUGCUUCGCAGGCACAGGAUCCUGGGUUCAAUCCCCAGUACCUCCA
rnacentral:tRNA from 1 species